rnacentral:rRNA from 1 species
UACGGAGGAUGCGAGCGUUAUCCGGAUUUAUUGGGUUUAAAGGGUGCGUAGGCGGAACAUUAAGUCAGCGGUAAAAUCGAGGGGCUCAACCCCUUUAAGCCGUUGAAACUGUUUCCCUUGAGUAUCGGAGAGGUCAUCGGAAUUCCUAGUGUAGCGGUGAAAUGCGUAGAUAUUAGGAAGAACACCAGUGGCGAAGGCGGAUGACUGGACGACAACUGACGGUGAGGCGCGAAAGCGUGGGGAGCAAACAGG